AAACAUGGAGACAUGAGGAUGGACGAAUUUGAUGAUUCAAAGGGCUAGAAAUCUGCAUGUGUGUGUGCAAAGUGUUGGCCUACAACUUCAAACAUCAUAGCUGCCAUGUGAUGGCAGAAAAUGUGUUUAUUGCUAGCUAAAUGGAUGAAGAACAUGCAUGUGCAAGUAUAAACACCACAUGGGCAGCAAGAAGGAAAGAAAACAGCAAAACACACACCACAUGGGCAGCAAGGAAUCAGAAAUUAAAGAAUGAAAGAGUGGGAAUUGAUGAGGACAACACACACACACACACACGGCAAUGGAAUGGAGUUGGCAGAUUUCUACAACAUUGGUAGUGAAUGGACAGCAAGGAAUGGCAGAAAUUGGACCACUAUGAGGUGGAUUUCUGGUUGGUCUUCCACUUAUAGCUUUGGGUGGCUUUGGAAUGAUUAUUUCUAGGUGGAAAUAGCACAAAAACAGCACACACACAUGCAAAACAAAGCUGGCAGCAUCCUUCCCUUCAUUGCCGUGGGUUUUUGUGUGUCCAUUACCUUGCAUUUCUUUUCAUUUCCAACCUCUAUAUAAGCACCAUUCAGCCUUCAAGGAAGACACACAGAAAUUCAUACACAUUUACAUUAGUUCCAAGGCUUGCAAAGAAGGAGGAGUGCUUGGAGUUGUGCUAGCCAUUCCAUUGGAGUUGUUGGAGCAUUCUAGGUGUAUUCUACUUUGUUUUUCUAUGUUUAAUAUCAAUUGUUUUUGUUUAAUUGCAAGUAUGAGGAACUAAUCCCCUACUUAGCUAGGGGGAAGUUCGAAGCCAUGAACAUGCUUGAGAUAUGAAUUGAUUUCUUCCAAUUGUGAUUUAAUAAGUUGUGAAUGCAAUUCAAUUAACUACUUUCUUCAAAACUAAUUCUUGUAUGUUGAUUAAGGAUGCAUACUUAGUUUUCAUGCAUGAAUUUGAUGCUAGGAUAUAAAUGAGUUUCACCUAAUCGUUACAAGUUUAUAUUCAUUGGUAGUGAAGGUUGCUAGUCACAAUCGCGUUAAUUGAAUUCUUGGCAAACGUAUCAUGCAUUCAUAGUUACAAUUGCCUCGUCAACACUUAUGAUUUUCAUUGAACGUAAUGAUCUUUGAUUGUAUCUCUAUUAUGCAUUCAUGUAGGGGACUUUUGGAGAAUAAUUUGGAUUGUCGUAUGCAUUCAUCCAAUUCAAUAAAUCAAGGAAAAUCUGAGGAUUAAUUAGUGAAUCACGGUUAAUCUGGGGUGUUGAGUUUCAUAAUCUAUUGAAAAGCAAUUGGAAAUCAAUUCAUGUACAAGUGUGUCAUGUGUGAAGAAUGGAUCUCUAGCUAAUCCAUCAACCAUCUGUUUAGUUUUACUUUUUGUUGUUAUCUCAAUCUCAUCAAAACCAAAUCCCCUUUUUUCUUAAUUCUUGUUCUAAAGUGUCUUAAAUUUGUUUAGUUUGUGCUUUAAAGUGUUUUGAGUCUAGUGAGGUAUUGUAAGGUAUAGUUUUGUGUCAUUGAGUCUAUUCUAAACAUUUUUAACUUUGUUCUUAUAUUUUUGAGUCAAGUGAGAGGUCAUUAGCAAGUCCUCCUAAUCCCCGGUCCAGAACGAUCCCUACUUAUACAUAUACUACAAUUGUCAACAAGAAGGUUUAAUUUGUGUGUCAAGUAAUUCUCGCAUCAAAUUUUGGCGCCGUUGCCGGGGAUUAGCAACUUUGCUAAUCCCUUGGUUCUUUUCUUUUUGUUUAGUUUGUUUUUGUUUUAGUUUCUGACUUAGUUUUGUUUUCCUUGUUUUGUGUUACUUUUGAUAUUUGAUUUAUUUUUCUUUCUUUGAUUUUAGGUACAAAUGGAGCGAGACAUGGCACUUGCGACCAUUCAAGCUCAAUUGGCACAGCUCACUGCUCAAUUGACUCAUAAUGCCGAACGGACCACAAUGCCAAGUGUCCCUACAUUUGAUGCAAAUGAAGAUGUUUGGGGAUAUCAUUAGCAAGUCCUUAAUUUUAUGCAAAUGAAGAUGUUUGGGGAUAUCAAGGCCAUAACCAAUCAAGGGGCAACAUAUUUUCCAACGCGUACAAUUCAGAUUGGAGAGGUAAUUCAGAUUAUAUGUGGGAUGAACCUCAACAAUUUCAACAAGGUGGAUAUUGGCAGCAAGACGAGUUUUAUUCAAGACCUAUGCAGCCACCACAGCAUCCCCCACAACAAUUCCAAUCAAAUCAAAGUAUGCCCGUGAAUUAUAAUGAAAUUCUUGAAGGACUAAUUUCUGUGGCGCAGGGUUUACAAAAAGAAGAACAAUUGCCGCCAUCAGAAGAGUUCUAUCAGUAGCCAUAUGAACCGUCACAGCCACCACAACAAUCAACCCAAUUCAAUUCAGGUACAUCCUUGGAUAAUGAUACACUUAAUAAGUUACUCACCUUUUUGAAUCAGGGCAAAACCAGGAGAUGCAAGACCGAGUCAAAAGAUUGGACAAAUUGGAUAUGCAAGUUGGGCAGAUUGUGGAAUUCAUGGCACAGAUUCGAGAUCAAAGUGAACUUUCCAACUCAAACAUUGCAAAUUCAAAGGCAGAAGUUGAAAUCGAUGAAGCCAUCACUUUGGAAGAAUGAACACAUGAAGGAUGAAGCUGAAUCCAGAACAAUCAACAACACAGCCCGAACAUGGAUGAAUUGCUGCUGCAAGCAGAAGAGGAGAAGGACGAAGACCUGGGUUCAAGAAGUUAGAAGAAUUCUUGCUGCAACUCCUCAAAUCCCAUGUCAUUGAAACACUGGAUUCAACAAGUUCAAUCAAAUGUCCCCAAGUUCAAAUUUGUUCCAACAAUGUGCCUGUUUGUCAUUGAAAGUUUGUGUUCAAAGAAAAAGAAAGUAAGCCAUCUUCUCCAAUUCAAUUUUAAUGGAAUUAUACUAAACAUGUUUCUGAUUUUGAUGAUUCAAGGCACCCACUCUUGAAUUUAAACCAUUGCCCCAAAGAAUCAUUUCAAGAUAUCACACCAUCCAUUAAAAGAAACCCGGAAAUUUCCAAUGCUUUUGGAGCCGAGGGGAGUUUAAAAAGAUGUCCGGCUAAGGACGUUAAAUCAAGCGCUUCUUGUUCAGAGGCAACCCAAGCAUUUCAACGAAGGGAGACUUUGGAAUCGCUAACCAAAUCAGGGAGCAUUUUGCAUUACACCCUUAUCUUUACUGCUUUCAUUUUGUUCAGUUAGUUGUGUUAUUUGGUUGAUUUCUGUGAGUUUGUGUUAUUUAGUUUAAGUGUGGGGGAAGGUUAAACAAAGUCUUUUUACAUUGAUUUACAUAUUUUACAUUGAUUUAAAAAAAAAAAAAACAUAAAAGUAAAAAUAUUUUACAAUGAUGUGUAAACUAAUAGUUUUCAUUGGUCAGGUGGUGCUUCAGUAGUCGGCGGAGCUUCAGCAGUCGGUGGGGCCACGGAAGGAGGAGGUAUCAAAGGUUGAUCAGUUGGAGCUUCACUACGCGGUGCCGCUCCAGAAGACGAAGGCAGAUGUUGUUGGAACAAACCCACAAACCUCCGAUGAUCAAGUAAAAUCUGACCAUUAGAUUCAUGUAUCUGGUCAAUUUUCCUCUUCAUGUUUGUGGCAUAGUUGUGUGCAAGCUUGUGCAAUUGUUUAUUUUCAUGCUUGAGUCCUCUAAUCUCCUCUUUGAGACUCUGUAUUUCAGCCACCAACGAUUCAACGUGACGGGUUCGAGCAAAUAGGCGUUGGGCCAUGUUGGACACAGAACCCGCACACUGCACACUAAGAGCCAGAGACUCCUUAACCGCCAAUUCAUCAGACCGUCUAGCAAGCAGUCUGUUAUCUCUGGGGGUGACAAGGUUCCGGGCCACCACCACAGCGGUCAUGUCAUUUUUCAUCACCGAAUCCCCAACGGUGAGAGGACCAGUAGGGGAUAUGAAAGAUGGGCUCCAUAUGUUGUCUGGUGAAGGCGGAGCUGCCUCUUCACCAAUGUUCAAGUCAAAACGACGAUCGGAAGGGCCAGACAUUUUCUGAAGGUGUUGAGAAAGAAGAGAUCGGACAGAUUAAGAAUUUGGAAAUUGCAAGAAGGGAGUGUUUACAAGAGGGAGCUCAAGUGUGUUGUGGAACACAAUUAGCGCCUCUAUAAAAAGAAGAAAUCGGAGAGGCGCUCCUCAGAGAAGCGUCCUCUCGCAAAUCGAAGAGUCGGGGCUCCUUUCUCAAACGCCUGAUUCUUUUCUCAAAAGAGGAGCCUUUCUGCCGGUUUCUUUUCUUAAAAGAGGCGUUUCAUUUCUCAAAAAAUGGGCUUGCUCAGAAACCACGAGCCGAACCCCGGAUUUCAAAAGAUCAAUUUGUCCAGACGUGUCGUCACUCGUCACAUGCAACUGGCAGCUUUGCGGAAAUUACGGGCAACUUUGUUAGAAAGCGCGUAAUUUGUACUAUUCAUCCAUCUACCGGCUGCCGACAAUGAGUGAGAGAAUAGUUCCGGUUGUGAAGAAAAGUCCUAUAAGUAUUUACCUUCGCCUUCCACAGCAAAGGCACACCUUCUUCAUCUCCGAGAUUGCAUUCCCAAAGAACCCUCUCGAGUCACUCUGUAUUCCUCAAGAACCCUUCACUCUGGGAUUCCUCAUUCCCUGGCCCCCUGCAAACAACCCAUCCAGAGCAAAAGUAUUUCAUAUCAUAAAGGUUGAAAGCAAGAGUAUCUCAUCUCAUGCAUUCUCCAUGUCCUUUUCCUUGUCUUUGUUCUAACCUGCAGGACAUGGAGAAAUUGCUCUCGAGUACUCGUCUUCCACUGCUGAUGUACUUGCAAAGAAGCUGCCACAUCUACCUGAAGAACAGAUAAGGCAAGCGAAAAUGAUACCAGCAGCAUGUGGAGACAACGUACAGAAGAAACAAGCAGAGAAGAAUGCAGCUUGCACAAUCAUCCCAGCGGAAGGAGUCUGAGAUGAAGAACAAGAGAAGCUGCCACAUCUGCUUGGAGAACAAAUAAGGAACUGCAACAUCGCCAAAGAGCAAAGUCUCGCCGUACAAUAUCAUCAAAUCAUCACUUGCAAGUAAAAAGCUAAGUGUCACCCAGUUCAAGAGGAAAACUGUGGAAAGUCAACAAGCACGACUAAUGAUCACUUAUUAGUUCUAUUCAUUGUCUUUUAUCGUGAUUUUCAAUUUUUCGUUUGCAAUUCUUGCGUUACUUAACUGAUUUAUUUCUUUUCUUUGCAGGAACUUUUGGUUAUUUCCACCCUUGAAGUUGAUUGCAGAAUUUUAGCUUGGGGGGUCAUCGCUUGGUUUUACUGCAAACUAGGGAAGUUUUUAGUCCAAUUGCUUUAUUUUCUUAUAUUAUAGUGUUUUCUGACAUUGGUAUAGAUUUCAUGGGUCCUUUCCCUCCAUCUUUUGGUUUCACUUAUAUCUUGCUAGCUGUUCAAAUUCCAUUAUUGUUUUGUGAAAACUAAUUUGGGUUUGAAGCCCUCAUUAUUUCCGGAACUCCAUGGAAAUUAAAAGAUUCUAGGAAUUUCCGACUCCAACCAUGGGGUUUUAGUUUGCAUGUUGCCUUCUCGUUGUUUGUUUGCCCUUUGUUUAUGUUUGUGUUUGUUUGACUAAUGUGUGAGUUUAUUUAAAUUGGGGGGGUUGUAAAACAAGUUGCUGUUGCAUGAUUUUCGUGGGAUUUUAUUCACCUAUCACUUACAAUGUUGUGUUUCUUGCUGUUUUUUAAGUGUGUUUUUAAGUGUGUUUUUAAGUUUGUUUUUGACAAAAAAUCAAAAUUUGACAAAAAGUUGAAUUGAAAAAAUUUUGAAAAAAGCCAAAAAGAGAGUUGUUUUUGUGUUGUGUUUGUUUGUGUCUUAGGGUACCUUCCAACAAAAUAAUGAGGAUUUGGUUUUUAAUUGCAUGACUGUUAAAGUUAAAGUUAUAAACAUGGAUGGAAGUUUGAUAUGCUCUUGAUUUAUGCUUGGUUAUAGUUAUAGUUUACGAAUUCACAUGUAAUCACAAAGAAAAAAAUUAGUUUUUGUAACAUGCUUGAAGGAAGGAACUCAAACUAACACUACAACCUUGAGAGACUUGAGCCUAAUACGUUCUUUGGAGAGUUAUUAAUCUGUGCAUUUUUGUUUUCUAAAGUCGUUGCAUGAUCUCAUCAUUCUUUGCUUGGUUGCUACUUAGAAGGCGUUUCAUCAUUUAGUUCCAAAUACUAGAACUUAUGCCCGUUCCAUUCAAAGCAUGACAUUGAUUUGCAUAACACAUAUUCAAGAUGAAGUUGUGUAGUGAACUAGAGCCAAAAAGCUUAUCCCGUGCAUAUUUGUUUAAGUUUAACCCCGUUGAGCCUUGUUUAGCCUGUUUCUUUGUUAAACGACAUUUCCCUUACCUAGCCUAGAUUAGGACUAUCCAUACCCUUGUUUUUAAAGCAUAAUGAAGCAUGACUUAAAAUGAAUUCCUUUUGAGUGUCCUUAUGCAGAAAACAAGUGUGGGGGAAUGAGAUUUUUGUGUUUUGUGUGCCAAAAGAAAGUAAUAAGGCACGGGUUAGAAAAGAAAAAAAAGAAAAAAGAAAAGAAAAAGUGUUGAAAAGAAAAGAAAAAGAGUUUGAAAUAAGUGAGGAAAGGCUCACAAGUGUUGUUUGUUGUAGAAAGGGUCCAAAAAGUUGAAAUUGGCCCUAAAAAGUUGAAUGAAUAAUCCCAUUGUGUUUAAAGUUAGUUGCUGCAUUCAAAGGGAAUUCUAAGCAUCAAUUUCAUUACUUUGCUUAUUAUGCUUUAAAAACGUUUGUUUCCUUACCUUUCAUUGUUAGCCAAUCAACCCUAACCCCGUUACAACCCUUAACUUCAAUCUUGAGUGUUAUGUGUUUCAAUAUGUAGAGUUUGGGAUUGGUACGAGCAUAUGGUGUCCCUGGUUCUCGCAUCUAAGUAGUAGCAUUCCAGUCAUGAGAUCAUAUCUAUACAUGCUUAAUAACUCCAGAAAUUACUUUCUUUGCUAUAAACAUAUGUGAGUGUUCAUUUUCAUGUUUACAUCAAUCUUCUCACAUACACCUAGUGUAGGGUGAGUAGUCAGAAAAUCAGAGUGAAAAUAAGAGUGUAUCUUGUAAGGAAUUGAGCAAAUUCUCUAAGGCAUGUCACUACAUUCAAAACAUCGUUUUAAUUGGUUAUAUGUGAACUAGUAUGUGGUGACUAUGAUUAAGUAUGUGCUCAAGGGUAGGGAAGGCAAAAAAAUAUGUGGUUAUGAUGAUCUUUUGCAUGUCAUGUUGCAUUGAAAAUCCCUAAGGUAAAUGUUGGAAGGUUUAGGUUUUGUUUUGUUUAUCUUAUGUUUUUGUUUCUUUGUUUUGCUCGAGGACUAGCAAAAGCUAAGUGUGGGGGAAUUUGAUAGGAGCAUAUUUAUGCGACUUAGUAUGUUUGUUUUCGUGCAUUUAUGUUCUUAGUUCUUAGUUAUGUUAGUAGUUUAAGCUAUUUUUGUGUGUUUGUAGGUUCUUUGGGCCAAGGAUGCAAGAAGGUGCAUUUUGGAGCACUUUGGAGCAUUUUUGGGCCAAGAUUGGAUGGUGCAAACAUGGAGACAUGAGGAUGGACGAAUUUGAUGAUUCAAAGGGCUAGAAAUCUGCAUGUGUGUGUGCAAAGUGUUGGCCUACAACUUCAAACAUCAUAGCUGCCAUGUGAUGGCAGAAAAUGUGUUUAUUGCUAGCUAAAUGGAUGAAGAACAUGCAUGUGCAAGUAUAAACACCACAUGGGCAGCAAGAAGGAAAGAAAACAGCAAAACACACACCACAUGGGCAGCAAGGAAUCAGAAAUUAAAGAAUGGAAGAGUGGGAAGUGAUGAGGACAACACACACACACACACACGGCAAUGGAAUGGAGUUGGCAGAUUUCUACAACAUUGGUAGUGAAUGGACAGCAAGGAAUGGCAGAAAUUGGACCACUAUGAGGUGGAUUUCUGGUUGGUCUUCCACUUAUAGCUUUGGGUGGCUUUGGAAUGAUUAUUUCUAGGUGGAAAUAGCACAAAAACAGCACACACACAUGCAAAACAAAGCUGGCAGCAUCCUUCCCUUCAUUGCCGUGGGUUUUUGUGUGUCCAUUACCUUGCAUUUCUUUUCAUUUCCAACCUCUAUAUAAGCACCAUUCAGCCUUCAAGGAAGACACACAGAAAUUCAUACACAUUUACAUUAGUUCCAAGGCUUGCAAAGAAGGAGGAGUGCUUGGAGUUGUGCUAGCCAUUCCAUUGGAGUUGUUGGAGCAUUCUAGGUGUAUUCUACUUUGUUUUUCUAUGUUUAAUAUCAAUUGUUUUUGUUUAAUUGCAAGUAUGAGGAACUAAUCCCCUACUUAGCUAGGGGGAAGUUCGAAGCCAUGAACAUGCUUGAGAUAUGAAUUGAUUUCUUCCAAUUGUGAUUUAAUAAGUUGUGAAUGCAAUUCAAUUAACUACUUUCUUCAAAACUAAUUCUUGUAUGUUGAUUAAUGAUGCAUACUUAGUUUUCAUGCAUGAAUUUGAUGCUAGGAUAUAAAUGAGUUUCACCUAAUCGUUACAAGUUUAUAUUUCAUUGGUAGUGAAG
rnacentral:lncRNA from 1 species